rnacentral:rRNA from 1 species
UACAGCCAAUACCACCCUGCGCACACCCGAUCUCAUCUCAUCUUGGAGGCUAAGCAGGGUUGGGCCUGGUUAGUACUUGGAUGGGAGAAAGGUCUGAAC